rnacentral:rRNA from 2 species
AGUCGAACGCGUUGGCCCAACUGAUUGAACGUGCUUGCACGGACUUGACGUUGGUUUACCAGCGAGUGGCGGACGGGUGAGUAACACGUAGGUAACCUGCCCCAAAGCGGGGGAUAACAUUUGGAAACAGAUGCUAAUACCGCAUAACAAUUUGAAUCGCAUGAUUCAAAUUUAAAAGAUGGCUUCGGCUAUCACUUUGGGAUGGACCUGCGGCGCAUUAGCUUGUUGGUAGGGUAACGGCCUACCAAGGCUGUGAUGCGUAGCCGAGUUGAGAGACUGAUCGGCCACAAUGGAACUGAGACACGGUCCAUACUCCUACGGGAGGCAGCAGUAGGGAAUCUUCCACAAUGGGCGCAAGCCUGAUGGAGCAACACCGCGUGAGUGAAGAAGGGUUUCGGCUCGUAAAGCUCUGUUGUUAGAGAAGAACGUGCGUGAGAGCAACUGUUCACGCAGUGACGGUAUCUAACCAGAAAGUCACGGCUAACUACGU